rnacentral:rRNA from 1 species
UACGGAGGGUGCAAGCGUUAUCCGGAUUCACUGGGUUUAAAGGGUGCGUAGGAGGGCAGGGAAGUCAGUGGUGAAAUCUCCGGGCUUAACUCGGAAACUGCCGUUGAUACUCUCUGUCUUGAAUCCCGUGGAGGUGAGCGGAAUAUGUCAUGUAGCGGUGAAAUGCCUAGAUAUGACAUAGAACACCGAUUGCGAAGGCAGCUCGCUACACGAAGAUUGACUCUGAGGCACGAAAGCGUGGGGAUCAAACAGG